GUGUGGCCUGUAAAUUUUUUGUUGUCAAGUUUUGAUAUCAAAUUAUUGAAGUAUGACAGCUAGUAUAAAGAAAUGUCAGGUACUAAAGUUUAAUCUAUAACAUUGUUUGAAAGUACCAAACAUAUAAAGUUGUAAUAAAAUAGAAAUAUACAUGAUUUCUUAACAGCAAUGAUUGCUAUUUUAUUUUAUUAUUGUAUUAUUUAGUUUAGGCUUAAUUUACAGUAAAAACAUUGUGGUUAAUGUAAAAAUUCAAUUUCAAGUUCUUGUAUGUGUGUACAUGUACUUUGGUAUUCUAUAAAUAGGAAUUUAAUCAGAUUUUUUUGAUAGGAAUUUAAUCAGAUUUAAAUGACAUCAUUUGAUGUAAAAUUUUAUAGACAUUAUUUAAAAAAAACCAUAAUGUUACUUAAUUUUUGAAAGGAACUUAAUUUUGUUUGGGAAUUUGUUUGUUCUUGAACGUGGAAUAUUAAAGUACUCAAUGAAAUAAUCUGUUGAUUAAAUAGAAUGAUUUUUUUAUUCAAUCUUGGAAUUUUGAUGUAAUUCGAAACUUUGAAAUAUCUCUGUUGAAUUUAUUUUAAAUCAGUAAAUUACUUUUGAAUUAAAGUUUCAUUAUAACAGGUAGAUCAAAUAUCAUGUGAUAUCUAGUUAGAUUUAUUUUGUAUAUAGUAGGCACACUAUGUCUUAUUAAAUGAUUUUUUACCACCUCAAAUCAACAACUGAAAUUAAAAGAUAUGUCUGAAAAAAAACCAGAAAUUUGAUAUUUAACAUCCAAGUUUACAUUUUCUUCUACACACAAGAAAAUAAUUUCCAGUUUAUGAUGGAAUAUUACAAUUGAAUAAGUUGUUUUUCUCAUUUAGAUGUUGUCCUGAACAUGCAUGAAAUACUUGCCACUGGGUGUCAAGCAACCAUCAGUCAAUCAGUUUGAUGAAGGCUUUAUUCAUUUGUUUUACCUUCAAUAUCAAAUAAUAUCAUUUUUGUGCAGCAUAAAUGCUUUGCAUUAACAGUAUAACAGCCUAUAGUUGGUUGGUCUCUGGUGGAUUGUUGUAUCAUUGGCAAUCAUAACAUAUCGCCAAUUUUAUUUAUUAAGUUUGUUAGUGAUAACAUUAAUUUAUAGAUUUAUUUCAUUGAAUAAAUGAACAUUUUGACACAUUUUUUGUUCUCAUAUUUUUUUUUACAUAAUCCCAUUACUUGAAAAUUCAAUUAAGUAAUUAUAACACUUUGAAGCAGACCACAUAUUGAUUCAAUAACUGUAAGCAGACUAUGUCAUUCAAAUAGAAUAAAUUUAUCUGAGGAAUUAUUUAUAAGGUUAUGAUAGCAAAAGAUCUAAUAAGACAGGUAAGAUUUCUGUUCGAGGGACACCUUUACUGCAGUAAACAACCUUUUUAUACCCCACCUAGGGCAAUUUUUUUCUCUGUCUGUGUGUCCAAAAGUUCGUCUGUUUGUCGGUCUCUCGAUCAGUCCCGCUUGAAGUUGAUGUCAAAGUUUUUGGUCAAGGUAGUUUUUUAUGAAGUUGAAGUCCAAUCAACUUGAAACUUACAACACACGUUCCAUAUGAUGUGAUCUUUCAAAUUUUAUGCCAAAUGAAAGUUUUGACCCCUAUUUCACAUGGCACUGAACAACGGAAAUGAUUGCGAAUGGGGCAUCCAUGUAUUAUUGACAAAUUCUUUUUAUGUAUACAUGUAUAUCUGUUAUGGCACUACAAAAACAAAUUUUGCCAGACUUUCUUUAUGAAUUCUUUAUGAAUUUUCUAGUUUUGGUAAAGGUUAGUGGGAAAAAAAAGGGGUAGGGGGCAAGUGUCUAGUAACCUGUGCCAUGCUGAUAAAUAAAGCACAUUCUGUAUAGAAAUUAUAGGAUGUUGUAUGAUUAGCAUUGAGACAACUAUCCAACAAAGUGACAUUUGUUGUUAGUAGAUAACAGUCUUGUAUUUCAAGUUUACAAGUAUCAAUUAAAUUGACUAGGGAUGCUUAAUCAGAGCCAGUAAACAAAUAUUUGUGUCCAUCAAAUAAAAAAUGGAUGCACUCAAAUCAAUAACAAUUAUCUCAGUUCUGAAUCUAACCAUCUUGUGUUAUAAUUUUGUAUUUAUUUUGAUAUUGAUGUGGGCUCAGUCAUGCCACGGAAAUAACCUUCACAAUUUGCAUUUUGUUUGUAUAAAAUGUAUGACUUGGGAUAACUAUAUUGGCAUGUUAACAAGUUAAAAAUGGUAGUUUUAUUUUUAUUCAACUUUAAAAUAAUGAAUCUUGAUUUCUGUCGUCACUUUAAGGUUUAUUUACAUGGAAGUUAAUGAAUGUUUUAUAAAUAAAGGUUUUCUCUCUAAUCGAAAUAAAAUUAUAUAACUGUUAUUUGUUUCAUGUGAAUUACCUUAUAACCUAUAUAAAUGGUUUAUUUGUUACAGAACCAGGAAAUUGCUUUGACUGACAUUAUCUGUAUAAAUUAAAGUUCGUGUAAUAUAGUUUGUUAUAAGUUCGUCAUAAGUUCGUCAUUGAACCAACCAUUUUCAUAAUUAACAAGAUUUUGUAUAUUGGAUAAGGUCACUUAUGUAGAAAAAAAGCAGAUUGACAAAUUACUUAUCAAUUUCCUUGUUAUGAACAAUUUCUCAAACAAAACUUUUUUUUAAAUUUCAUUGUUUUUGCAACUGUCAGAUCAGAUGGGAACUGACAAGCCAUGAUCUUGAUUCUUUUUCAUUUAUAUAAGUACAGAUGACCUCUAUAGAUUGAUGUCAAUUUCAUUUUGACAUUGUCAUAAAACUCUUUGAUCAUAUCUGUGUUGUUAUUAUUGUAGAUGUAAUUGAUACAAAGUGAAAUGGACAUGAUUGACAAGCACCUGUCUCCAAUCUACAGGUAAACUCCAGGUAAGAUGUAAUUAAAUUUGACAUUGAUUAGGGCAAGGACUUCCGUGAAAUUGAAAAUGAAAAAAAAAUAAUGUUUGAAAAAAAAAAAUGGACAUGAUUUGAACCUUAAGACCCCAAGGGUGACUUGGGAGUAGAAAUAUGAUCCUCAAUUGUCUUCUGCCGACUGACAGUAAAACCCUUACCAUAGUGGCACGUCCGCUUGGUAGUACUGGAAUCUAUACAUACAUGAAAUAUUUUCCACUGGAUGUUAAACCACCAACAAUCAUUGAACCCUAUGGCCAUUUUGUAGAUGUAUAGGUAUAGUUUUAGAAAGUUUAAACCUUUUUGUGAUUUAGAGAAAGUAUAUGAAGACUUAUGACAACAUAAAUCAAAUGAAGUUGUCAGUACUAGACAGGGACAGCGAAAACAAAAAAAACAGAGGAAACUUGAAGAUUUAAACAACUUAAAAGAAUCCAGAGAUCAUAUAAAGGCAACUUACACAGAAUGCAGAGAAUUCAGAUAUUCUAAUUUACAUGUUGCAUUCAUUAUUUAAUCUAGCAUGCAGAGCAAGCAUCAAAGAGAACACUAAGAAUAGCAUGC
rnacentral:lncRNA from 1 species